rnacentral:rRNA from 1 species
GUAGGUGGCAAGCGUUGUCCGGAAUUAUUGGGCGUAAAGCGCGCGCGGGCGGUUCUUUAAGUCUGAUGUGAAAGCCCACGGCUCAACCGUGGAGGGUCAUUGGAAACUGGAGAACUUGAGUACAGAAGAGGAAAGCGGAAUUCCACGUGUAGCGGUGAAAUGCGUAGAGAUGUGGAGGAACACCAGUGGCGAAGGCGGCUUUCUGGUCUGUAACUGACGCUGAGGCGCGAAAGCGUGGGGAGCAAACAGGGAUUAGAUACCCUGGUGGUCCACGCCGUAAACGAUGAGUGCUAAGUGUUAGGGGGUUUCCGCCCCCUUAGUGCUGCAGCUAACGCAUUAAGCACUCCGCCUGGGGAUACGGCCGCAAGGCUG